UCCCCCCCAAGUCUCGUGGGUAUUGUGUUUGCAUCGCGCACCAUGCUUAGUUUCAGUAUGUAGGUGAUUUAUACUCAGCUUGCUCCAAGCGAUAUAAACUGCAUGAAAUACCUGAAGGUUUAGAAAAAACUUUAAAUGAUUUACUACAG
rnacentral:sRNA from 1 species